rnacentral:rRNA from 1 species
AGAGUUUGAUCCUGGCUCAGAACGAACGCUGGCGGCAUGCUUCAGACAUGCAAGUCGAACGAGAUCUUCGGAUCUAGUGGCGCACGGGUGAGUAACGCGUGGGAACCUACCUUUUAGUUCGGGAUAACAGUUGGAAACGACUGCUAAUACCGUAUACGCCCUCCGGGGGAAAGGUCAGCCGCUGAAAGAGGGGCCCGCGUCUGAUUAGCUUGUUGGUAGGGUAAAAGCCUACCAAGGCUACGAUCAGUAGCUGGUCUGAGAGGAUGUUCAGCCACACUGGGACUGAGACACGGCCCAGACUCCUACGGGAGGCAGCAGUCGGGAAUAUUGGACAAUGGAGGAAACUCUGAUCCAGCAAUGCCGCGUGUGUGAUGAAGGCCUUAGGGUUGUAAAGCACUUUCAACGGUGAAGAUGAUGACGGUAGCCGUAGAAGAAGCCCCGGCUAACUUCGUGCCAGCAGCCGCGGUAAUACGAAGGGGGCGAGCGUUGUUCGGAAUUAUUGGGCGUAAAGGGCGCGCAGGCGGUUUGGAUAGUUAGACGUGAAAGCCCUGGGCUUAACCUAGGAACUGCGUUUAAUACUGCCAAACUAGAGAACUAGAG